UACGUAGGGACCAAGCGUUGUUCGGAUUUACUGGGCGUAAAGGGCGCGUAGGCGGCGCGGUAAGUCACUUGUGAAAUCUCUGAGCUUAACUCAGAACGGCCAAGUGAUACUGCAGUGCUAGAGUGUGGAAGGGGCAAUCGGAAUUCUUGGUGUAGCGGUGAAAUGCGCAGAUAUCAGGAGGAACACCGGUGGCGAAGGCGGGUCUCUGGGCCGAUGACUGACGCUGAGGAGCGAAAGCGUGGGGAGCGAACAG
rnacentral:rRNA from 1 species